ensembl:lncRNA
GGAGGGGAUACUAUAUAAUGUUGUUGUGUCUGUAACCAUGAGGAGGGGAUACUAUAUAAUGUUGUUGGGUCUGUAACCAUGAGGAGGGGAUACUAUAUAAUGUUGUUGGGUCUGUAACCAUGAGGAGGGGAUACUAUAUAAUGUUGUUGGGUCUGUAACCAUGAGGAGGGGAUACUAUAUAAUGUUGUUGUGUCUGUAACCAUGAGGAGGGGAUACUAUAUAAUGUUGUUGGGUCUGUAACCAUGAGGAGGUUCUGUAACCAUGAGGAAGGGAUACUAUAUAAUGUUGUUGUGUCUGUAACCAUGAGGAGGGGAUACUAUAUAAUGUUGUUGGGUCUGUAACCAUGAGGAGGGGAUACUAUAUAAUGUUGUUGUGUC